rnacentral:misc_RNA from 1 species
UACGGAGGGUGCAAGCGUUGUCCGGAUUUAUUGGGUUUAAAGGGUGCGUAGGCGGCCCUGUAAGUCAGUGGUGAAAGCCGACAGCUCAACUGUCGAACUGCCAUUGAUACUGCAGGGCUUGAGUACAAACGAGGUAGGCGGAAUUGAUAGUGUAGCGGUGAAAUGCAUAGAUACUAUCAAGAACACCGAUUGCGUAGGCAGCUUACUAGAUUGUAACUGACGCUGAGGCACGAAAGCGUGGGGAGCGAACAGG